rnacentral:rRNA from 1 species
CCUACGGGAGGCAGCAGUGGGGAAUAUUGCGCAAUGGGCGAAAGCCUGACGCAGCGACGCCGCGUGAGGGAUGAAGGUCUUCGGAUCGUAAACCUCUGUCAGCAGGGAAGAACGGUCACUGUGCUAAUCAGCAGUGAAUUGACGGUACCUGCAAAGGAAGCACCGGCUAACUCCGUGCCAGCAGCCGCGGUAAUACGGAGGGUGCGAGCGUUAAUCGGAAUUACUGGGCGUAAAGCGCUCGUAGGCGGUAUGUCAAGUCAAGGGUGAAAUCCCCGCGCUCAACGUGGGCACUGCCUUUGAAACUAGCAAACUGGAGUGUGUGAGAGGAUAGGGGAAUUCCAGGUGUAGGGGUGAAAUGCGUAGAGAUCGGGAGGAACAUCAGUGGCGAAGGCGACUAGCUGGAACAUAACUGACGCUGAGGAGCGAAAGCGUGGGUAGCAAACAGGAUUAGAUACCCCUGUAGUC